rnacentral:rRNA from 1 species
CCCUGAAAGAUGAUCAGGUUGAUAGGUCUGAGGUGGAAGUGUGGCGACACAUGGAGCUGACAGAUACUAAUCGAUCGAGGACUUAACCAUAUUU